rnacentral:rRNA from 1 species
AUUGAACGCUGGCGGAAUGCUUUACACAUGCAAGUCGAACGGCAGCACGGACUUCGGUCUGGUGGCGAGUGGCGAACGGGUGAGUAAUGUAUCGGAACGUGCCCAGUCGUGGGGGAUAACGUAGUGAAAAUUACGCUAAUACCGCAUACGAUCUAUGGAUGAAAGCGGGGGAUCGCAAGACCUCGCGCGAUUGGAGCGGCCGAUAUCAGAUUAGCUAGUUGGUGGGGUAAAGGCCCACCAAGGCGACGAUCUGUAGCUGGUCUGAGAGGACGACCAGCCACACUGGAACUGAGACACGGUCCAGACUCCUACGGGAGGCAGCAGUGGGGAAUUUUGGACAAUGGGCGCAAGCCUGAUCCAGCAAUGCCGCGUGCAGGAUGAAGGCCUUCGGGUUGUAAACUGCUUUUGUACGGAACGAAACGGCCCUUUCUAAUACAGGGGGCUAAUGACGGUACCGUAAGAAUAAGCACCGGCUAACUACGUGCCAGCAGCCGCCGUAA